rnacentral:rRNA from 1 species
UACAGAGGGGGCAAGCGUUAUUCGGAAUUAUUGGGCGUAAAGCGCACGUAGGCGGCUUAGCAAGUCGGAAGUGAAAUCCCUCGGCUCAACCAAGGAAGUGCUUUCGAAACUGCUGAGCUUGAGUACGAAAGAGGAUCGCGGAAUUCCCGGUGUAGAGGUGAAAUUCGUAGAUAUCGGGAGGAACACCAGUGGCGAAGGCGGCGAUCUGGGUCGAUACUGACGCUGAGGAGCGAAAGCGUGGGGAGCGAACAGG